UGGUUUAAUAAAAAUGAAUUGAUUUUUGUAUAUUGACCUUGUAUUCAUCAAUCUGGCCAACAUAAACUUUAAAUUUUUAUGCAGGUUUAAUUUUCUAUUUUCAUAAUUAAUCUUAGUUUCCUCAUACAUAGAUAUAAAUGGAAGUCAAGGAUUAGCAGACAUCUGAAGAAACAGAUCAGGUACAAGAUUAAUAAACAUGAUUCAAGGGAUGGAAAAAAAUUUAGUUUUCAAUUUUUAAAAUUUUUAUCUAUACUCACCUUUAACUACCGAGAAGACUGUGGACGUUAUAAAUCCUAAUAAUACAAAAGCAAAAAUUUCUCAUGUAAUAUAAUAUAGAUUCAAGGUCAGAGUAGUAAAUUACUGACUCAGAAUCAUUUUCCACAAGUGAAAUCAACAGAAAUAUUUUUAUAUUGCCAAUACUCAAGCAUUGUUGACCUACAAAAACAGUUAAUUCUAUUAAAACAUACACAGUGACACCCUUUGAUUUAAUGGGGAGAAGAGUUAAUCUCAACUCCUUUACUGAGUGUCUCAGAAGCUGAUAAUAGGGAGAGAGAAUGGGAAACUUAGAAGGAAAAUUGUAACUGAAGAAGUGAGGCUGUCUGGAUCAGAAAGAUCAGGCUAAACAGCAAAAUUAAAGGAUAUUUCUGAUACAGUGUGAGCCUAUGCCCAACUGUUGUUUGAUCUGACUCCCCUCAAAUAAGUGGUAUGAACUAAAGAAUUGUUUCAUUCUUGGCCCAAGAAUUUCUCUGAAAAAGCCGAGGAAGAGACAACAGGGAGUGUCCAUGAUGAAG
rnacentral:lncRNA from 1 species